GCACAAGCGGUGGAGUAUGUGGUUUAAUUCGAUGCAACGCGAAGAACCUUACCUGGUCUUGACAUCCCGGAGACCCUUAGGAAACUAGGGGGUGCUUCCAUCUGGAAGAAUCUGGAGACAGGUGCUGCAUGGCUGUCGUCAGCUCGUGUCGUGAGAUGUUGGGUUAAGUCCCGCAACGAGCGCAACCCUUGCCUUUAGUUGCCAGCAGUUCGGCUGGGCACUCUAAAGGGACUGCCGGUGUUAAACCGGAGGAAGGUGGGGAUGACGUCAAGUCCUCAUGGCCUUUAUGACCAGGGCUACACACGUACUACAAUGGCCGAUACAAAGGGCAGCGACACUGCGAGGUGAAGCCAAUCCCGUAAAAUCGGUCUCAGUCCGGAUCGCAGUCUGCAACUCGACUGCGUGAAGUCGGAAUCGCUAGUAAUCGUGAAUCAGAAUGUCACGGUGAAUACGUUCCCGGGCCUU
rnacentral:rRNA from 1 species